GACGAACGCUGGCGGCGUGCUUAACACAUGCAAGUCGAACGAUGAAGCCCAGCUUGCUGGGUGGAUUAGUGGCGAACGGGUGAGUAACACGUGGGCAACCUGCCCCAAACUCUGGGAUAACUCCUCGAAAGAGGUGCUAAUACCGGAUACGAACUAGACAGACAUCUGUACUAGUUGGAAAGUUUUUCGGUUUGGGAUGGGCCCGCGGCCUAUCAGCUUGUUGGGGAGGUAACGGCUCACCAAGGCUACGACGGGUAACCGGCCUGAGAGGGCGACCGGUCACACUGGGGCUGAGACACGGCCCAGACUCCUACGGGAGGCAGCAGUGGGGAAUAUUGCGCAAUGGGCGAAAGCCUGACGCAGCGACGCCGCGUGAGGGAUGAAGGUCUUCGGAUCGUAAACCUCUUUCAGUAGGGACGAAGCGAAAGUGACGGUACCUAAAGAAGAAGCACCGGCUAACUACGUGCCAGCCGCCGCGGUAA
rnacentral:rRNA from 1 species